AUGCGAUCCGAGGAGGACUCGAGGGCGGAGGAAGGUUGCGGGAGGUGGCGGCAGGGGAGGGAAAACUUGAAUGUGGUCAGGGGAGGAAGUGCGGGAGCCGAGUGCCCUUCUGGCCAGCUCCGAAGCCCGUGCCCUUUGGCCCUGGCUGCCCCUAGCUGGGCUUCCAGCGGGCCCAGGGGAAUAAGAACAGAUGCGGCAUGCAGGAGAUUUCAGAAGAACCGGGGACACAGCAGCGGGCACAGGCAAAGACACAGUCACCAGCUUACUACUCGGCACAGCAGUUUCUAGUCGGAGAACAUCACAUGGAAGGAAGAGGAGUCGCUGCCGCGUGGGGAUGAACCCGAAGCACACUGCGCAGUGGAGGAAGGAGGAGGAAGCAUGUCCCGUGACUCGUCAGUGGGCUGUGCGCGCGCACUGGUUUUACACCUUUUGAACGACUCACGUAUUUACUUUUAUUUUGCCCUCAACGUAUUUUCUGCGAUAUAACUUUAUUUGUAGUGAAGUUUGGAUGCAAGAUCACCGUGAACCCCUUAAAUGUUGAGAAAUGGUUGAAUGGUGCGGAAAGAAGGCUGUGCCUUCCGAAGAACCCCUUCUGCGCCAGCACCCCCACUAUCAAGUCUUUCUUCCUCCUUCCUUCCUCCUUCUGUCAGUGCUGUAAACUUCUUUACAUUUUACCUACAGACUCAACUUAUUUACUUUCUAAUUGCUGUUUGUUACAUAAACUUAUUUUUGUUCAAUUAA